AACGCAUAUUGCACUCCUUUGGAGUAUGCCUGUUUGAGUAUCUAUUCAAUUCUAUUCCCCUCCACAUUGUUUCUGCCUCUGGGCGGGAAUGCAUGUGUGCGUGUGUGGAAUGAUCUGAGCGUCUUUGUAGCUGGGCGGCGAGCCUUGUGUCUCUCUCUCGGGAGAGACGCGGCACUGCUGCUACUCGCUUGAAAAGAAUAGAUGGCUGAUUCUGGGUCUAUUGUAAACAAUGACUCGCUUAAAUGGCCUUUGAACUGUGUUUGAAUAAGGAGACUCUCUCUUUAACUAGCACUUAGUAAUUGGCUGAGCAUUGUAUGAAUACCCUCGUUAGCAAAGCAUUUUUUCUUUGCAAAUGAAACGGAAUGUAAGCUUCCUUCAAACCCCAUAAAGCCGUGGCGCAAGCUGCUGGCUUUGAACCAUUGGUCUCAAAUCAGGCAAGAAGACCCGCUGAACUUAA
rnacentral:misc_RNA from 1 species